rnacentral:rRNA from 1 species
GUGGGGAAUAUUGGACAAUGGGCGCAAGCCUGAUCCAGCAAUGCCGCGUGUGUGAAGAAGGUCUUCGGAUCGUAAAGCACUUUCGACGGGGACGAUGAUGACGGUACCCGUAGAAGAAGCCCCGGCUAACUUCGUGCCAGCAGCCGCGGUAAUACGAAGGGGGCUAGCGUUGCUCGGAAUUACUGGGCGUAAAGGGCGCGUAGGCGGCUCUGUGAGUCAGGCGUGAAAUUCCUGGGCUUAACCUGGGGACUGCGCUUGAUACUGCAGGGCUUGAGGCCGAGAGAGGGUGGUGGAAUUCCCAGUGUAGAGGUGAAAUUCGUAGAUAUUGGGAAGAACACCGGUGGCGAAGGCGACCACCUGGCUCGGUACUGACGCUGAGGCGCGACAGCGUGGGGAGCAAGCAGGAUUAGAAACCCUGGUAGUCC